UUACUUGCUUUGGUAGUACAUAUACUAAAAUUGGAACGAUACAGAGAAGAUUAGCAUGAUCCCUGCGCAAGGAUGACAUGCAUAAUUAUGAAGUGUGCCACAUUUUU
rnacentral:snRNA from 1 species